AGUGAACGCUGGCGGUAGGCCUAACACAUGCAAGUCGAACGGCAGCACAGUAAGAGCUUGCUCUUACGGGUGGCGAGUGGCGGACGGGUGAGGAAUACAUCGGAAUCUACUUUUUCGUGGGGGAUAACGUAGGGAAACUUACGCUAAUACCGCAUACGACCUACGGGUGAAAGCAGGGGAUCUUCGGACCUUGCGCGAUUGAAUGAGCCGAUGUCGGAUUAGCGAGUUGGCGGGGUAAAGGCCCACCAAGGCGACGAUCCGUAGCUGGUCUGAGUGAAUGAGCAGACACACUGGAACUGAGACACGGUCCAGCAUCCUACGGGAGGCAGCAGUGGGGAAUAUUGGACAAUGGGCGCAAGCCUGAUCCAGCCAUACCGCGUGAGUGAAGAAGGCCUUCGGGUUGUAAAGCACAUUUGUUGGGAAAGAAAAGCAGCAGGUUAAUACCCCGCUGUUCUGACGGUACCCAAAGAAUAAGCACCGGAUAACUUCGUG
rnacentral:rRNA from 1 species